rnacentral:rRNA from 1 species
GCCUAAAGCGUCCGUAGCCGGCUAUGUUAGUUUUCGGUUAAAUCCAUAUGCUCAACACAUGGGCUGUCGAAAAUACUGCAUAGCUAGGGAGUGGGAGAGGUAGACGGUACUCUGUAGGAAGGGGUAAAAUCCUUUGAUCUAUAGAUGACCACCAGUGGCGAAGGCGGUCUACCAGAACAUGUCCGACGGUGAGGGAUGAAAGCUGGGGGAGCAAACCGGAUUAGAUACCCGGGUAGUCCCAGCUGUAAACUAUGCAAACUCAGUGAUGCAUUGGCUUGUGGCCAGUGCAGUGCCGCAGAGAAGUCGUUAAGUUUGCCGCCUGGGAAGUACGUACGCAAGUAUGAAACUUAAAGGAAUUGGCGGGGGAGCACCACAAGGGGUGAAGCCUGCGGUUUAAUUGGAGUCAACGCCAGAAAUCUUACCCGGAGAGACAGCAGAAUGAAGGUCAAGCUGAAGACUUUACCAGACAAGCUGAGAAGUGGUGCAUGGCCGUCGCCAGCUCGUGCCGUGAGGUGUCCUGUUAAGUCAGGUAACGAGCGAGAUCCCUGCCUCUAGUUGCCACCAUUACUCUCAGGAGUAGUGGGGCGAAUUAGCGGGACUGCCGCAGUUAAUGCGGAGGAAGGAGGGGGCCACGGCAGGUCAGUAUGCCCCGAA